rnacentral:rRNA from 1 species
GCUCAGAAACUCAAAGGAAGUUGACGGGGCCCGCACAAGCGGAGGAGCAUGUGGUUUAAUUCGAUGAUACGCGAGGACCUACCUGGGCUCGAACGUAAGAUGACUGUAGGUGAAAGCUUACAUCUCUUCGGAGCAUUUUACGAGGUGCUGCAUGGUUGUCGUCAGCUCGUGCCGUGAGGUGUCGGGUUAAGUCCCAUAACGAGCGCAACCCUACCUUUAGUUGCCAUCAGGUAAUGCUGGGGACUCUAAAGGAACUGCCUACGCAAGUAGUGAGGAAGGCGGGGAUGACGUCAAAUCAGCACGGCCCUUACGUCCAGGGCUACACACGUGCUACAAUGGCCGAUACAGAGGGCAGCUACCUGGCGACAGGAUGCAAAUCUCCAAAGUCGGUCUCAGUUCGGAUCGGAGUCUGCAACCCGACUCCGUGAAGUUGGAUUCGCUAGUAAUCGCGCAUCAGCCAUGGCGCGGUGAAUACGUUCCCGGGCCUU